CUGACAGUUCAGACAGCAAACCAUAUUUAUUUAUAUACAUGUGCUUUGUAUUUUUAUAUUGCUAUCAUGUUAAUGUGACCUAAAAAUAACAAAUUGAACGCUUUGCCUCACGCGCAAGUUGGCACGUGCACGGGGAGAGAGAGGGGGAGAGAGAGAGAGAGAGAGAGCGUGUCUCAAUCAGCUCCCUAGUUCAGUAGUUAGGGCACUGAUCAGGGAGUCGGCCUCAUUCACUUUAAUGAAAUACUGAUUCAUGAGCUAGGGAGCUGAUGAGCUGAUUGAGACGCAGGGAGAGAUAAGUCAUUGGCCUGUGUAUUUCAAAUGAAAUCAACCAUCUGUAAUUAAUUAAUUAUGAAAAGAUAUAAUUUCAUGGCCUAAAAUUUUUAAUUCAGUUAUAUUCACAUUAAAUAUUGAUGUAUAAUUUCUCUUGAAUGUAUAGGCCUAUUUCAUCAGCACGUUCAUCCAUACAGAGCAAUAUUUAACUGAAAUAUUAAUUCUUGUUUCUUUUUCUCCUUUUCAUUGUGUGUAAAGAGAUCAUUGGUUCUGCUCUUAUUCUUUGCCAUCUAGUCCUGAUUCCUGACUACAGGUCUUCAGGAUGACCAGGAACUACAGGACGGUUUGAGCUACACUCUGCAGGACGUUGGUCCUCCAUGACCAGGACUGGACACCACUGUCCUAAAUAAACCCAAGGAGAGGCGCUCAGGCACAGGUCACUUCAUCUUUUGCUGUAUAAAAAAGCGCACAAAAAGCGGCCCGGCCACAGCUUCCGAAGUGGAAACUCCUGUUAAAUCAUGGCUCCAUAAUGCAAGAGACUGGGAUGGUGGAAGGAGCAGAAGAACCAGAAGACUGGAGAUCAGGCAAAGAUCUACUGGUACCCGAGGGGGAUUGAUCACUCAUCUCCAUCCACAAAUGAAUGAUUUCUGAAUGAUCAUGUGACACUGACAACUAGAUGCAGGCUGCUGAAUAUUAAGUUUUAACAUCACAGGAAAAUUUUUCUUUGUAAAAUAUAUUAAAACAGUUCAGGGCUCGACAUUAAGCCUUUUCCUGUGACGAGUAAAUCAGUCAUUCACAAACUUUGUUGUAAAUACAAUUUAUUCUGCAGCAUCAGUGUUAAGGCCGGCUGUGACAUGUAUAAAUCUGCAUAUUUAUGAUAUUUUUACCUUUAUAAAGGGCAUUUUCCUCAUUAUUAAAUAAAUGCUUCAUCUUUCAUUUU